rnacentral:rRNA from 1 species
GUGAGGAAUAUUGCGCAAUGGAGGCAACUCUGACGCAGCCAUGCCGCGUGCAGGAAGAAGGCGCUACGCGUUGUAAACUGCUUUUAUCCGGGAAGAAACCCCUCUACGUGUGGAGGGUUGACGGUACCGGAGGAAUAAGCACCGGCUAACUUCGUGCCAGCAGCCGCGGUAAUACGAAGGGUGCAAGCGUUAUCCGGAUUCAUUGGGUUUAAAGGGUGCGUAGGUGGGACGUUAAGUCAGUGGUGAAAUCCUGCAGCUCAACUGUAGACUUGCCAUUGAUACUGAUGUUCUUGAGUGCGCUUGAAGUAGGCGGAAUGUGCCGUGUAGCGGUGAAAUGCUUAGAUAUGGCACAGAACACCAAUUGCGAAGGCAGCUUACUAAGGCGAUACUGACGCUGAGGCACGAAAGCGUGGGGAUCGAACAGGAUUAGAUACCCCAGUAGUCC